rnacentral:rRNA from 1 species
GACGAACGCUGGCGGCGUGCCUAAUACAUGCAAGUCGAGCGAAGUGGAGAGAGCUUGCUCUCAAAGCUUAGCGGCGAACGGGUGAGUAACACGUGUGCAACCUGCCUGACAGACCGGGAUAACGUGGGGAAACUCAAGCUAAUACCGGAAAGGACCGCAAACCGCAUGGAUCGCGAUGGAAAGUCUGAACGACACUGUCAGAUGGGCCCGCGGCGCAUUAGCUAGUUGGUGGGGUAAUGGCCUACCAAGGCGACGAUGCGUAGCCGACCUGAGAGGGUGACCGGCCACACUGGGACUGAGACACGGCCCAGACUCCUACGGGAGGCAGCAGUAGGGAAUCUUCCACAAUGGGCGAAAGCCUGAUGGAGCAACGCCGCGUGAGUGAUGAAGGUUUUCGGAUCGUAAAACUCUGUUGUUAGGGAAGAACACCCGGGAGAGGAUCCCGGUUUGACGGUACCUAACGAGGAAGCCCCGGCUAACUACGUGCCAGCCGCCGCGGUAAGAC